AUUGAACGCUGGCGGCAUGCCUUACACAUGCAAGUCGAACGGCAGCACGGGUGCUUGCACCUGGUGGCGAGUGGCGAACGGGUGAGUAAUAUAUCGGAACGUACCUUAUUGUGGGGGAUAACGCAGCGAAAGCUGUGCUAAUACCGCAUAAUCCCUAAGGGGGAAAGCGGGGGACCGUAAGGCCUCGCGCAAUUAGAGCGGCCGAUACCUGAUUAGCUAGUUGGUGAGGUAAAGGCUAACCAAGGCAACGAUCAGUAGCUGGUCUGAGAGGACGAUCAGCCACACGGGGACUGAGACACGGCCCAGACUCCUACGGGAGGCAGCAGUGGGGAAUUUUGGACAAUGGGGGCAACCCUGAUCCAGCAAUGCCGCGUGAGUGAAGAAGGCCUUCGGGUUGUAAAGCUCUUUUGUCAGGGAAGAAACACCGGCUCUAACACAGUCCGGGAAUGACGGUACCUGAAGAAUAAGCACCGGCUAACUACGUGCCAGCCGCCGCAGUAA
rnacentral:rRNA from 1 species